rnacentral:rRNA from 1 species
UACGGAGGGAGCUAGCGUUGUUCGGAAUUACUGGGCGUAAAGCGCACGUAGGCGGCUUUGUAAGUUAGAGGUGAAAGCCUGGAGCUCAACUCCAGAAUUGCCUUUAAGACUGCAUCGCUUGAAUCCAGGAGAGGUGAGUGGAAUUCCGAGUGUAGAGGUGAAAUUCGUAGAUAUUGGGAAGAACACCGGUGGCGAAGGCGGCUCACUGGCUCGUAACUGACGCUCAUGCACGACAGCGUGGGGAUCAAACAGG